CUGCAUUAUUCCCUGAUACUGGAAGCCGACUCGAUGUUGUUGGUGCUGCUGCCAGUGUGCUGCCGCGGCCUGCAACUGUUUCAACCGGGCAUCUUCUUCUGGGUCUUCAGACUACAGUUAAGAGAGAAUAUAGUCUUAUGAGAAACCUUUUUCACGUUAGCCACUUUUCACCAAUAGACGACAAGGUACUCAUUAUGGCUCAAUAAAGUUUCCACAUGGCCUCUGGGAGAAAAGGUGCCUUUGGAUCAAAGUGAGAACUUUCCAUGUGUCAGUUAAUAUGUUAAGUGACAAGGAUUAUCACAUUUCAUGCUUCAACAGCUCUGUAAGAUAGCUACCACCCAUUUUGCAGAUGAGGAAAUCACAGCACAGAACAGUUAACUAGCUUGUGCAGAGUCACCACCAGCAAGUGGCAGUGCCUCGACUACAGCCUGGGCAGUCUGACAACAGAAGCUGAAGCUCUUACACACUGCCCUGUGCUGCCAGUAUGAAAACACCCUGGUAGCCCGUUAGUCCUUAGAGACUCUCAGUUCAGAAGAGUGUCUAAUUCUUUAUUCACUGAAACCAUGAAAAAAAUGCCUUUUCUAAACUUGA